AAACAUAUGGAAUAGAUCACCAGAGGCAAACAUCUGAAGCAGCAAUGUGAUCUGCGUCUAUUAGAGAAGAGGAACAGACCAAAGACCAACAGAGAUGCUGAAACUCUGGAUUCCUGCAUGGAGCUGGAGUUGGUCUAGAUGUCACCCCUCUGCUGUCCUUUGCCAAGCAGACUGUAUGAGCUGCUGCAGAAAACUACCUUAUAUGUGGUCUUUAUGCUUCUCCCUUGCAGCAUCUAGGCCCUUCAAAAACGUCGUCUUGUUUUAAUUUACUUUACUUUAUUUAUUUCAUUUUAUACCACCCAUCCCAGAAAGGUUCAGGACAGUUCACAUCCAAAAUUCAAACCAAUUUAUAUUAAUACAAAACUCGUGUUUAAAAUCUUUUAAAACUA